AUGUCCACGGAGGGAUUCCUUCCAUCGGAAGCUGUCAGAAAAACUACACGGCAGAGCUACAUCAAGGAACGUCGUCUCCCACCAGGAAGCACUACGGGAUUCCCAGUGAGCCCACAGCAGCUGCCUGGUGCCAUCGCCCUGACAGGAAGUGGAACCUCUCUCCUGAGUUUCCCUACAAACUUCCCGGGAGUGGGCACUGGCUGUCUUGAAGGAGCAAGAAUACACGGGGACUCUCUGCGGUUUGGAAAUUAAGUCAAAGCAGCAAAUACCUUACAGGCAACCAGUGGCUCCUGUGGUAUUGAUGGUGAGUAAUCAUAUCCCCUCUGUGCAAGGUGUCUGCCUGCUGGUCACUCCUGACCUGUGUGGCCGUCAACCCUGUCCACUGCAUGGGGCCAGACAGGCCCAGUUUGGGGUCCUGGGAUGAACAGAGCAAGGAUGUGGUUGAGGGUCCCUGGGUGCAUUUCCACCUGGAGUCUCAGCUGAAUGGUACACAUCUACAAAGGUUGCUGCAGGCACCGUGUGGCCUGGGAUCCAGGAGACUCCAGAAGGGAGGGGCUCCCCUAAACUUCCUGGUGUCAUUGGCUCAAAAAUGUACCCGCCCCCAAAGACACCAA
rnacentral:lncRNA from 1 species